AUCCUGCUGAACAGUCCCAAACAGGACGAAACGCGCGUCCUGGAU
rnacentral:hammerhead_ribozyme from 1 species